rnacentral:rRNA from 1 species
GUGGGGAAUAUUGGACAAUGGGCGAAAGCCUGAUCCAGCCAUGCCGCGUGUGUGAAGAAGGUCUUCGGAUUGUAAAGCACUUUAAGUUGGGAGGAAGGGUAGUAACCUAAUACGUUGCUACUUUGACGUUACCGACAGAAUAAGCACCGGCUAACUUCGUGCCAGCAGCCGCGGUAAUACGAAGGGUGCAAGCGUUAAUCGGAAUUACUGGGCGUAAAGCGCGCGUAGGUGGUUCAGUAAGUUGGAAGUGAAAUCCCCGGGCUCAACCUGGGAACUGCUUGCAAAACUGAUGAGCUAGAGUACGGUAGAGGGUGGUGGAAUUUCCUGUGUAGCGGUGAAAUGCGUAGAUAUAGGAAGGAACACCAGUGGCGAAGGCGACCACCUGGACUGAUACUGACACUGAGGUGCGAAAGCGUGGGGAGCAAACAGGAUUAGAUACCCCAGUAGUCC